GCCCUCGUUGUCUAAUGGUUAUGACGUCAGACUUCUAAUCUGGAGGUUGUGAGUUCGAGUCUCACCGGGGGCU
rfam:Gloeophyllum trabeum ATCC 11539 unplaced genomic scaffold GLOTRscaffold_00002, whole genome shotgun sequence.